rnacentral:rRNA from 1 species
ACGCUCGACACCUAUGGGAGGCAGCAGUGGGGAAUAUUGCACAAUGGGGGAAACCCUGAUGCAGCGAUGCCGCGUGAAGGAAGAAGUAUCUCGGUAUGUAAACUUCUAUCAGCAGGGAAGAAAAUGACGGUACCUGACUAAGAAGCCCCGGCUAACUACGUGCCAACAGCCGCGGUAAUCUGAGCGGCUGGCAAGGC